rnacentral:misc_RNA from 1 species
UACGUAGGGGCCGAGCGUUGUCCGGAAUUACUGGGCGUGAAGCGCGCGCAGGCGGCUGUCCGCGCCCGGCGUGAAAGCCCCCGGCUCAACCGGGGAGAGUCGUCGGGGACGGGACAGCUCGAGGGCGGGAGGGGUUGGUGGAAUUCCCGGUGUAGUGGUGAAAUGCGUAGAGAUCGGGAGGAACACCUGUGGCGAAGGCGGCCAACUGGCCCGACCCUGACGCUGAGGCGCGAAGGCGUGGGGAGCGAACGGG